UACAGAGGAGCCAAGCGUUGUCCGGAUUGACUGGGCGUAAAGCGCACGCAGGCGGACGCGCGCGUGGGGUGUGAAAUCUGGCCGCUUAACGGCCAGGCGCCAUCCCAUACGGCGCGUCUGGAGUGAUGCAGAGGUCGGUGGAAUUGCCGGUGUAGUGGUGGAAUGCGUAGAGAUCGGCAGGAACACCCAGGGGGAAACCAGCCGACUGGGCAUCUACUGACGCUGAGGUGCGAGAGCGUGGGGAGCGAACCGG
rnacentral:rRNA from 1 species